UCUCCGUUGGUGAACCAGCGGAGGGAUCAUUACAGAGUUUUCACAACUCCCAACCCUUGCGAACCGCACCUAUUUUGUUCUCGUUGCUUCCGGCCGGCCGGAAGGGGGGGCCCGAAACGGCCUCCCCGCCUCGCCCGCCGGUGGCGGCGGGCCCUACGAACCAUACUAUCACAAACACCAGAAAUCCACCGACAAAACAAACAAAACAAUCAAAACUUUCAACAACGGAUCACCUGGCUCUGGCACCGAUGAAGAACGUAGCAGAUCGGCAAAGCACAC
rnacentral:misc_RNA from 1 species